CCGGCGCACGGGUGAGUAACGCGUAUCCAACCUGCCCACCACUUGGGGAUAACCUUGCGAAAGUAAGACUAAUACCCAAUGACGUCUCUAGAAGACAUCUGAAGGAGAUUAAAGAUUUAUCGGUGAUGGAUGGGGAUGCGUCUGAUUAGCUUGUUGGCGGGGUAACGGCCCACCAAGGCUACGAUCAGUAGGGGUUCUGAGAGGAAGGUCCCCCACAUUGGAACUGAGACACGGUCCAAACUCCUACGGGAGGCAGCAGUGAGGAAUAUUGGUCAAUGGACGAGAGUCUGAACCAGCCAAGUAGCGUGCAGGAUGACGGCCCUAUGGGUUGUAAACUGCUUUUAUAAGGGAAUAAAGUGAGUCUCGUGAGGCUUUUUGCAUGUACCUUAUGAAUAAGGACCGGCUAAUUCCGUGCCAGCAGCCGCGGUAAUACGGAAGGUCCGGGCGUUAUCCGGAUUUAUUGGGUUUAAAGGGAGCGUAGGCCGGAGAUUAAGCGUGUUGUGAAAUGUAGACGCUCAACGUCUGCACUGCAGCGCGAACUGGUUUCCUUGAGUACGCACAAAGUGGGCGGAAUUCGUGGUGUAGCGGUGAAAUGCUUAGAUAUCACGAAGAACUCCGAUUGCGAAGGCAGCUCACUGGAGCGCAACUGACGCUGAAGCUCGAAAGUGCGGGUAUCGAACAGGAUUAGAUACCCUGGUAGUCCGCACGGUAAACGAUGGAUGCCCGCUGUUGGUCUGAAUAGGUCAGCGGCCAAGCGAAAGCAUUAAGCAUCC
rnacentral:rRNA from 1 species